AACGAACGCUGGCGGCGCGCCUAACACAUGCAAGUCGAACGAGAAGGCGUAGCAAUACGCUUGUACAGUGGCGAACGGGUGAGGAACACGUGGGUAACCUACCCUCGAGUGGGGAAUAACCAACCGAAAGGUUGGCUAAUGCCGCGUAAGCUUCCAUCUCUUCGGAGGUGGAAGGAAAGCUGUACCGUGGGUACAGCGCUCAAGGAUGGGCUCACGUCCUAUCAGCUUGUUGGUAGGGAACGGCCUACCAAGGCAACGACGGGUAGCUGGUCUGAGAGGGCGAUCAGCCACACUGGCACUGCGACACGGGCCAGACUCCUACGGGAGGCAGCAGUGAGGAAUAUUGCGCAAUGGGCGAAAGCCUGACGCAGCGACGCCGCGUGGGGGA
rnacentral:rRNA from 1 species